rnacentral:rRNA from 1 species
UACAGAGGAUGCAAGCGUUGAUCGGAAUUAUUGGGCGUAAAGCGCGUGUAGGCGGCUUUGCAAGUCGGGUGUGAAAGCCCUCAGCUCAACUGAGGAAGUGCGCCCGAAACUGCAGAGCUUGAGUGCCGGAGAGGGUGGCGGAAUUCCCCAAGUAGAGGUGAAAUUCGUAGAUAUGGGGAGGAACACCGGUGGCGAAGUCGGCCACCUGGACGGUAACUGACGCUGAGACGAGAAAGCGUGGGAAGCAAACAGG